UACCUGCAGAAGAAGCACCGGCUAACUACGUGCCAGCAGCCGCGGUAAUACGUAGGGUGCGAGCGUUGUCCGGAAUUAUUGGGCGUAAAGAGCUCGUAGGCGGUUUGUCGCGUCUAUCGUGAAAGUCCGAGGCUCAACUUCGGAUCUGCGGUGGGUACGGGCAGACUAGAGUGAUGUAGGGGAGACUGGAAUUCCUGGUGUAGCGGUGAAAUGCGCAGAUAUCAGGAGGAACACCGAUGGCGAAGGCAAGUCUCUGGGCAUUAACUGACGCUGAGGAGCGAAAGCAUGGGGAGCGAACAGGAUUAGAUACCCUGGUAGUCCAUGCCGUAAACGUUGGGCACUAGGUGUGGGGGACAUUCCACGUUUUCCGCGCCGUAGCUAACGCAUUAAGUGCCCCGCCUGGGGAGUACGGCCGCAAGGCUAAAACUCAAAGGAAUUGACGGGGGCCCGCACAAGCGGCGGAGCAUGCGGAUUAAUCGAUGCAACGCGAAGAACCUUCCAAGGCUUGACAUGUGCUAGAUCGCCAUGUAAAC
rnacentral:rRNA from 1 species